rnacentral:lncRNA from 1 species
CUGGUGACCAACCUGCCCAGGCACCCCCGUGAGCUCCGGACGCCCACCCCUUUGACCUCGCCCGGGGCAACACCCUCGGAACAGCCGCCGGGGCCCCCGGGCCCACCCCCACCGACGUCAGGAGGCAGCUCCCGAAUCCGGCGAGAGUGAUCACCCUCUGCCCCAUCCCACUCUUCGCAGAAAGGAGCUGCCACGAGACUGUGAGUGUUGACCGUGCGAGGACCAAGGUAGGAGUCACUAUGCUGCCGUC